rnacentral:rRNA from 1 species
UACGUAGGGUGCGAGCGUUGUCCGGAAUUACUGGGCGUAAAGGGCGCGUAGGCGGUUUCGCAAGUCAAGGGUGAAAUCCCGGAGCUUAACUCCGGAAUUGCUUUUGAUACUGUGAGGCUAGAGUGUAUUAGAGGAUGGCGGAAUUCCUAGUGUAGUGGUGAAAUACGUAGAUAUUAGGAAGAACACCGGUGGCGAAGGCGGCCAUCUGGGAUACAACUGACGCUGAGGCGCGAAAGCGUGGGGAUCAAACAGG